rnacentral:rRNA from 1 species
GGGGACCGACCUUCGGGAGCCCAUACAGGUGCUGCAUGGCUGUCGUCAGCUCGUGCCGUGAGGUGUUCGGUUAAGUCCGGUAACGAGCGCAACCCUCGUCGUCAGUUACAAGUGUCUGACGAGACUGCCGUGAUAAGCGGAGGAAGGUGGGGAUGACGUCAAGUCAGCAUGGCCUUUAUAUCCAGGGCUACACACACGCUACAAUGGCCGGUACAAUGGGUCGCCAACCCGCGAGGGGGAGCCAAUCCAAUAAAGCCGGUCUCAGUUCGGAUUGCAGGCUGCAACCCGCCUGCAUGAAGUCGGAGUUGCUAGUAACCGCGCGUCAGCACAGUCGCGGUCGAAUACGUUCCCGGGCCUU